UCUAAUCUAGGUUGUUUACUGGAUGUUUUUGUCGCACUGGACAUCAAGCCAUUAAUACCUUGUUUUAAUGUGAACAUGAAUGUUUUUUAUGCACAAUUUGACAGAUUAGACACUCCCUCAAAAAUUCCUCCUCCUUUUUUUUUUUAACACAGGACUGUGCGCAUGCAGGUUCAACAGGUUUUUAAGAAGGUAAACACCCGUAAGUCAGUGGGACCUGAUGGUGUAUCGCCAAACGUUUUGAAGUUCUGUGGGAACAACUGGCAGACACCGUUGACCCCUUUACAGUUUGCUUACCACCUUAAUAGAUCAGUGGACGAUGCAAUGGCCAUGGCUUUGCAAAAAACCUGGACUGGAGUAGAACACACAAAUGCUUUCUUGGAUUAUAAGUCUGCUUUCAACACCAUCCAACCUGGAAAGCUAUAAUUGAGAAGCUGGUAGACCUCGGGGUCCCAAGUUCCCAACCACCACCUGUAACUGGGUUUCGGAGUUUCUUAUUAAUAGCUCUAGGCCUCUUGAAACCAGCUGAUCUUUGGAAUGUGGGGGUCACCAUGGAAACCUUAAAGACCUUGAAUGAAAGCAUAGCCUACUGUUGAGCAGCACCACCCCCAGUUCAUAGGACUCCCUCUCCGAGGGCUGGACGGUGCUGCGGGAUGAUGUCAUGCGGUCGGGAAACAGAGGGAACAGUGGGAGAUGACCUGGGCAGAGAGAAAGUCAGAGAUUGAAGGUCAUGUGAGUGUGAUCAGAGCAGGGGUCAGCACACUGCUUUUUUCUUGAAGACUCUUAAGAGGCUGAAAUGGUCCAGACAGCGGACAGCUUUUUUGCACAAUGAAUGCAGAGAAUAAUCCCUAACAGCCUGUCGUGACCUCUAACAGACCCCUAAUUACCCCACACACAAACACAUUCAGCACAGCUCAUAUUAAACUCCUAUUUUCUUGCCGAAAUGUCAAUCACUGUAAUUGAAAUCUUUGAUUUGACUGUUCGAUUCAUUUUUCUGCAGUAUGAUCAAAUGUUUGGAUGGAUAAUAAUGUUAAUGUUAGCCCUGAAUUAGGCUAAUGUAAUCUCCGACAGCUUGAUGCUGAUAUUGAUUUAGUAAUCUGCUUGUUUUGGAUUUAAUCUGUCCCAGGCAGUUUGAAUGUUAUUGCCCAAAUAAGUGGAAAUUUGCAGAAGUAAAGAAUAAGGAGGCUGGCAAAUUUGUGAGGGCAAUCUCCUGUUUCUGCACUAUUUGCACAUGUAGGUAUGGUUAAAUCAUGCUCUGCACUCUCACAAUAUUUCACUGA